ensembl:lncRNA
UUUUUUUAAACUGGACAGGACAGGAUACAGAACAUAACCAGAUUUUGUUUCUGACUAAUUUUCUAAAACAUAUGUUGAUGAGGUUUUUGUGUUCAUUUUAUAGAAGUUGCUAAGAGAAGGUGUUUCGAUGCUUCUUUUGCAUCACCAAGACUGACAUCUGGAGGAUAAAGCCAAGAGCUGCAAGUGUUUCAGACUUCUUUUCUUCUUGGAAUUCUGAGGAAUUUGCUUUUUGGAAACACUAAUGAACCCCUUGCGUGUCCUUUGCGUGCCCUUUUCACACCUCCCUGCGCGCGCCGACCCAUUUUUUCUAGGUGACGCACGCGACGCAAGCCAUUGGUCCGCUAACUACGUCCUUUACGGAGUCUCACAUUUCCGUUUUCAUAGCACAAUACCGCCAUUAUUAAAACGAAUAAUGUUUUACGAGAGAACGGAGCAGAUUGAAGAACUUUUGUCGGAAGAAAUGCUCUACCCGGGAAAGAGCACCGAAGCGACGGUGCACCUUCGUCGGACCUCGCGCUACGAGGAAGUCACUAAACAGGAUUGCUGUGUUGCACUUAAGGUGGCAGAGUCGUCUGCAGGAGAACAUCUGAAAUGGGAUUCUUGGAGAACAACAGAUUGCCAAUGUCACGUCUGGCAACCAUCACAUUUUAAUGCAAACAUUAAUAUCAAGCUGGACUUGUUUCACUGCAUGAGGCGGUUCCUCCGUGAGUGUGUGUCGGUGGCAUCCCGCCCAGUACAGUUCCUUUGCUCAGUUCCUCUGGACUGGGACAAGCACAACAGCAAGACAGAUCACACCCAGGCCCCGAAUCCACCAGUCUUUCAUGAGCUUUUAAUGAAAGUUUAUAUUUAUUAUACAAG